rnacentral:rRNA from 1 species
ACCUUGAAAUACCACCCUUUAAUGGCUGGUGUUCUAACGUAGACCCGUAAUCCGGGUUGCGGACAGUGUCUGGUGGGUAGUUUGACUGGGGCGGUCUCCUCCCAAAGAGUAACGGAGGAGCACGAAGGUUAGCUAAUCCUGGUCGGACAUCAGGAGGUUAGUGCAAUGGCAUAAGCUAGCUUGACUGCGAGAGUGACGGCUCGAGCAGGUGCGAAAGCAGGUCAUAGUGAUCCGGUGGUUCUGAAUGGAAGGGCCAUCGCUCAACGGAUAAAAGGUACUCCGGGGAUAACAGGCUGAUACCGCCCAAGAGUUCAUAUCGACGGCGGUGUUUGGCACCUCGAUGUCGGCUCAUCACAUCCUGGGGCUGAAGUAGGUCCCAAGGGUAUGGCUGUUCGCCAUUUAAAGUGGUACGCGAGCUGGGUUUAGAACGUCGUGAGACAGUUCGGUCCCUAUCUGCCGUGGGCGCUGGAGAAUUGAGGGGGGCUGCUCCUAGUACGAGAGGACCGGAGUGGACGCAUCACUGGUGUUCGGGUUGUCAUGCCAAUGGCACUGCCCGGUAGCUAAAUGCGGAAAAGAUAAGUGCUGAAAGCAUCUAAGCACGAAACUUGCCCCGAGAUGAGUUCUCCCUGACCCUUUAAGGGUCCUGAAGGAACGUUGAAGACUACGACGUUGAUAGGUCGGGUGUGUAAGCGCAGCGAUGCGUUGAGCUAACCGAUACUAAUGAACCGUGAGGCUUAACCUU